UUACGGCCAUAUCACGUUGAAACACCGGUUCUCGUACGAUUAUCGAAGUUAAGCAACGCCGAGCCUGGUCAGUACCUAGAUGGGUAACAGUUUGCGAAUAUCAGGUAUUGUAAG